GGGGUUGUACUGGUUUCGACGGGGGUUUUGAGAUUCGAGGAGCCAUUCGCAGACCGUGACUGCGCAUCAAAACGGAAUUAAAUAUAAACGCCAACAAUAACGUUGCGUUAGCCGCUUAAUUGCGGCUUGUCGGCCCGGGGCCACUCGACACCCCGGUCAACCGGCAUCAUGAAGUCGGGGAACUGCCGGCCUUAAGCUUAGCGGGCCGGAUGGAUAAAAUGAAGCUACUGAAAUCCGUAGUUUGUUUGUGAACGCCGGACGGAGGGAAUGUCAAAGCACAAACUAUGAUGGUAGAGCCUGGUAUGGAUGGACUUUCGGACAGGGGUUCGAUUCCCCUCAGCUCCA
rnacentral:tmRNA from 1 species